UACGAAGGGGGCUAGCGUUGUUCGGAAUUACUGGGCGUAAAGCGCGCGCAGGCGGCUCUUCAAGUCAGGGGUGAAAGCCCAGAGCUCAACUCUGGAAUUGCCUUUGAGACUGUAGAGCUUGAGUACGGGAGAGGUGAGUGGAAUUCCCAGUGUAGAGGUGAAAUUCGUAGAGAUGUGGAGGAACACCGAUGGCGAAGGCAGCACCCUGGGUCAAGAUUGACGCUCAUGCACGAAAGCGUGGGGAGCAAACAGG
rnacentral:rRNA from 1 species